ensembl:lncRNA
AUCGAGGCGCCUGUGGUUGGGUAAGUUGUUUGGGUGUGUGAGGGAAGGAGAGUAUAGAUACAGGAAGAGGGAGGGAAAAUCAAGACUGAAACAUGGAGGUAGUCUUGAAUGUUUUUAUGUAACAGGCAGCAGAUUUCCAGGCAAAUAUGUGAUUUUACCAGUUACUGGCAACAGUUAGCACAAACAAGGAACGUUACGGUGGUGCUGGGCUUUGAGUAAAAGAUUAACAGUCAGUGUUUUCUCUGCAGUGUCUGUUUCCUUCUGGACUUCCUUAGGGGAAAGGAGGGCUGGAACUGACGUGCCUGCUUCCCUCACCCGCAGGGGGAUCUCCCCCGGGCCACUUUGUGUCGUUCGUGCAUUCGUCGGUCACUCCUCAGGCAUGGAUGGAGCCCAAUGCCUGCCCAGCACUGAGUUGGAUUGCAUGUGAGUCAGAGGGAGACCAGGGAAACAGUCCUAAGGCCGCCUCAGGGCAGGCUUUUUCCAGGAAGAGGCCAGAGUCUCCCUCCACCCAGCCAGGAGACCUGUUGGAGGCUGGCUUGGGUUUGGACACGAUUGCCCAAGCGCUGGGAGGGUAGACGAGUCAGAAAGAAACUGGGCAUGGGCUCUAACAUCCUUGUCUACAUCACUGCUGUCUGCUAAUGAUUUUUGUUUGUUUGUUUUGUACCGAUCACAUCAACUUAAAGCCAGUUCUCAAGAAGCCCCCCUUGGCAUACCCACCAACUGUGUCCCUUUCCUCCUGUUAGUCAGUGGCUGCUAAUUAGAGAACAGACCGUUGCUUAUCUACCAACACCCCCACCCCAAGGCAGCUAAAUGAGUCACUCUUAUUAAAAAAUGACUUGUUUAUCAAAUCCUAUUUGUGUCUCUUUCAUAUCCCAAUUUUUUUUUUUUUUUAUAGAUUUAAUGACUCUGAAUGAUAAGGUAUUAGCAAUAGGAACUUAUCCCUUGAGUAACACAGGGCUGGGCUGUAUUUCGGUGUGGAGACAACAACAGCAAUAAUGCCAAUAAUUCCUAACCUUACUGAGCAUUUUCUCCUUGCUAGGCACUACGUGCAGCACCUCACCUGCGUUAUGUCAUUGAAUUGUCACAAAAAUCCCUUGGAGGUAAAUAUUAUUAUCUUCAUUUGCAUUUAAGGAAACUAACAGUCGAGAAACUUGAAGUCAAACCCUGGCUGCUGAGGUCGCACAGGUGGUAUUUCAGAGGCGUCUGUUGCCCAUCCUACUUUCUCUUAGUCCAGUGCCUCUCACGAUGUGGUCUUUGAACCACCGAAAUCAGAAAAUCGUGGGACUUUCUAACCUUCUGAUCCCUGGACUCUCUCUUAGACUCAGGGGAUGGAAAUCCCUGGGAAGUGGUCCUGGAACCUGCAUUGUAAACCACAUUUUGGACCUUGGGGAGGGAGUGUGUGGUUAACCCUAGGAACAGAACCGGCCCCUCCGUGUGGAGGCUGACCUGUGUUUUAGUCCUCGACUGAGUUCACGCUCUUUAUUUAAUCUCUCUUGGCUUCCAUUUCCUCAUUUGUAAACCAGGGUCUCCUGGUGGUUGUGAGGCUCGAAGAUGAUGUGCAGAAAGUAGAAUAAAAUGUUAGACGU